rnacentral:tmRNA from 1 species
GGGGGUGAAAGGAUUCGACGGGAGUGGAUGCGGUAGGAAUUGCGUGCCGAGGUCCCCUAUAACCUCGUAAAACCAUUGGGAAACAAACCAACUGCAGACGAACCUUCGUAUGCAAUGGCUGCCUAAAUUAGUUUAGUGUAGCCCGUUCUUGAUGAUUCCUGCCUGCGGGGUUGUCAAGAGCGCCGAUAAGGCAGGCUGGCUCCGUUUUGUGUCUCAGGGCACGGAGCGAGACUAAAACUGAGGCUGGUUCCGGUAAUAUCCCGCCUGUUGGAGCUUUCCGGAACGAGAUUUAAAAAAUAGGCUACGCAUGUAGACGUUCUUGCUUUGACAUUUUCGGACGGGGGUUCAAUUCCCCCCACCUCCAUAG